rnacentral:tmRNA from 1 species
GGGGCUGUUCUAGGAUUCGACAAGAAUUCUGAAAUCUGAGGUGCAUGUCGUGGGGCGGUUGGCCACGUUAAAAGCCGCAAAAAAUAGUCGCAAACGACGAAAACUACGCGCUAGCAGCUUAAAAAACUACUUAGUGCACUUCUGCUCUAGCUUCUGCACGUAAGACGGGGAAAAACGGAAGAUAAAACAAAACGUGCUUUGCCUGGAUUCUCCAACCUGAGAGAUGAACGGUGAACAAAUAUUCAGGUUAGCUUUUUUCCAGUGUGUCGAUAUCACGGGUUAAAGUGAAAAUUGAAAAUCGACUAAGCAUGUAGUACCAAUGAGGGAUGGUUUUUGGACGCGGGUUCGACUCCCGCCAGCUCCACCA